GACGAACGCUGGCGGCGUGCUUAACACAUGCAAGUCGAGCGAGGUCCAUGCAGUGGCAACACUGCGGAAGACCUAGCGGCGAACGGGUGAGUAACACGUGAGCAACCUGCCCCGAGACUGGAGUAACAACCGGGAAACCGGGUAGCUAAUAACCGGACGUGUCCUUCCUUCUGGUCGGCAUGGCCGUAACGAAAGGAAAGGGAAAGUUUUAGUUCGUUCGGGUAGGGGGCGGUCGCGGGCGUAU
rnacentral:rRNA from 1 species